CAAUCCGGACGGAGGGAAGUAACCGGGGGCAGUUGAGGCUGCUACUGGUUGGGGCUGCUCCCUUCCCUGUGAAGGGGAGGAGCAGGAGAUGCUCAGGCUGCAAGACAACCUUGCUCUGAUACCACUUGUUAGUAUCUCUAGCCUCACUUUCAUGAAGAAGAGGAUGACACUAGGAGAGUUGGGGCAAUUUUCGUUGGUUUAUUUCUCACACAUCUCACACAAUGCCAUGCCAGACUGAGGGUUGAGGAUACAGAUAUAUAGCUGCUAGCCAGCCACGAAUAUGCUAAGAUGCUAGUCUAACUGCCAGUCCUUGAUGCCCCUAAAAGCAGUCAAGGAUACUUUCCUAUCCUAACAGCAGUCCUUCACAAGGACCAUGUAUGCUGCAGCCAGUCCUCCACAGGACCAUGUGCAGCAGCCUCCACAGAGACAACAGUACAGGGACUUUAUCCAACACUAUCAGAAACUUAAUGGCAGAAAAAACAAAACAAAGCAAGCAGGAAAAGGAAACUGACCGAAUGGAGAAUAGCUAGAGAGCACGAUAAUAUGAGCAGAUGCGCGCCUGACUGCAUACCACAUUUGGGAGCUGCUACUCGAUGCCA